rnacentral:rRNA from 1 species
GAUGAACGCUAGCGGCAGGCUUAACACAUGCAAGUCGAGGGGUAGAAGGAGCUUGCUCCUUUGAGACCGGCGCACGGGUGCGUAACGCGUAUGCAAUCUACCUUGUACAGGGGGAUAGCCCAGAGAAAUUUGGAUUAAUACCACAUAGUGUAAUGAAUAGGCAUCUAUUUAUUACUAAAGUUCCAACGGUACAAGAUGAGCAUGCGUCCCAUUAGCUAGUUGGUGUGGUAACGGCAUACCAAGGCAACGAUGGGUAGGGGUCCUGAGAGGGAGAUCCCCCACACUGGUACUGAGACACGGACCAGACUCCUACGUGAGGCAGCAGUGAGGAAUAUUGGUCAAUGGGCGCAAGCCUGAACCAGCCAUGCCGCGUGCAGGAUGACGGUCCUAUGGAUUGUAAACUGCUUUUGUACAGGAAGAAACACUCCCUCGUGAGGGAACUUGACGGUACUGUAAGAAUAAGGAUCGGCUAACUCCGUGCCAGCCGCCGCGGUAAUAC